rnacentral:rRNA from 1 species
UACGUAGGUGGCGAGCGUUAUCCGGAAUUAUUGGGCGUAAAGAGCGCGCAGGUGGUUGAUUAAGUCUGAUGUGAAAGCCCACGGCUUAACCGUGGAGGGUCAUUGGAAACUGGGAGACUUGAGUGCAGAAGAGAAGAGUGGAAUUCCAUGUGUAGCGGUGAAAUGCGUAGAGAUAUGGAGGAACACCAGUGGCGAAGGAGACUCUUUGGUCUGUAACUGACGCUGAGGCGCGAAAGCGUGGGGAGCAAACAGGAUUAGA